rnacentral:rRNA from 1 species
AUGUGGUGGAGGCCCGGCGGCGCGGCUUCCUGUGGGUGCCAUGGCGUUGGGUGGGCUCCUGUGCACAUCCGAGAGAGAGGUGAGAGCAGAGAAAUCACUACCGUUCCAAGGUCUCUGGUCUGGGAGCUUGUGAAGAAGAGCAAGUGCUUCUUGAUCAAGCAGUUUGGCAACAGCAACGCCAAGGUCCAGUUUCACAAGCCCAACAACCUCUACAAUGUCCGCUACUACAAGUUCUCAGGCUUAACAAACAGCAAGACCGUGGCGGUCCAGCCAUCAGCGGGAGAGGAGAAGGCUGUUGUCCUGUCCACGAGCAAGACCAAGAAGCAGGACACCUGUGCCAAGCUGUUGCACAAGACUCUAACGCGCAAGCAGUUCUGCAAGAUGGCCAAGUCUGUCCAGAAUCAGGUACUAACACAACAAAAAUUCUUACUUGAAAAGUUAGAAUGCACAUGUUAUGCUUGUUUCUAUGCUGCAACUCAUUUGUAUGUGCACCUGCUCUUAUAUACAUUUAACUGUUUUGUGGAUUGUACUAUUAACAUUUAA